CAGCAGUCGCCGCGGUAAUACGUAGGUGGCAAGCGUUGUCCGGAAUUAUUGGGCGUAAAGGGCUCGCAGGCGGUUUCUUAAGUCUGAUGUGAAAGCCCCCGGCUCAACCGGGGAGGGUCAUUGGAAACUGGGAAUCUUGAGUGCAGAAGAGGAGAGUGGAAUUCCACGUGUAGCGGUGAAAUGCGUAGAGAUGUGGAGGAGCACCAGUGGCGAAGGCGACUCUCUGGUCUGUAACUGACGCUGAGGAGCGAAAGCGUGGGGAGCGAACAGGAUUAGAUACCCCCGUAGUCCCUGUCUCUUAUAC
rnacentral:rRNA from 1 species